CCUAAGAUCCCUCAUGAUAUCUCAUCAUUUGCAUUGUCUUUGGGAUCACACCUUGGCAUCCUCCUUACCCCUCAUUCAUUGGGUUUGCAUUGGGAGAGAUAACCAAACACUUUUUACUGUAUCAUACUUUAUUUCCUUUUGUUUACUAACCAAAAUACCAAAAACAUGUAUAGGUAUAACUUUGUCUCUUUUGUAGGUGUGUGUGUGUGUAUGUGUCCAUCUGUG
rnacentral:lncRNA from 1 species